rnacentral:rRNA from 1 species
UACGGAGGAGGCUAGCGUUGUUCGGAAUUACUGGGCGUAAAGCGCACGUAGGCGGACUGUUAAGUCGGGGGUGAAAUCCCGGGGCUCAACCCCAGAAUGGCCUUCGAUACUGGCGGUCUUGAGGUCUGGAGAGGUGAGUGGAAUUCCGAGUGUAGAGGUGAAAUUCGUAGAUAUUCGGAGGAACACCAGUGGCGAAGGCGGCUCACUGGCCCGAUACUGACGCUGAGGUGCGAAAGCGUGGGGAGCAAACAGG